rnacentral:rRNA from 1 species
AACGAACGCUGGCGGCAGGCUCAACACAUGCAAGUCGAACGCCCUAGCAAUAGGGAGUGGCGCACGGGUGAGUAACGCGUGGGAAUAUACCGAGUAGUGGGGAAUAACGUUGGGAAACUAACGCUAAUACCGCAUACGCCCGAGAGGGGAAAGAUUUAUCGCUAUUCGAUUAGCCCGCGUGAGAUUAGGUAGUUGGUGGGGUAAUGGCCUACCAAGCCUACGAUCUCUAGCUGGUCUGAGAGGAUGAUCAGCCACACUGGAACUGAGACACGGUCCAGACUCCUACGGGAGGCAGCAGUGGGGAAUAUUGGACAAUGGGCGCAAGCCUGAUCCAGCCAUGCCGCGUGAGUGACGAAGGCUUUAGGGUUGUAAAGCUCUUUCGCCGAUGAAGAUAUUGACGGUAGUCGGAGAAGAAGCCCCGGCCAACUUCGCGCCGGCCGCCGCGGUAA